rnacentral:tRNA from 1 species
GGGACGCUAGCUCAUGCUUGGUUAGAGCAGUAGACUCAUAAUCUAUUGGUGCCGUGUUCGACUCACGGGCGUCCUA